CAGAGCUGGAUAAGAACGCAGAGCUGCGGGUGUUUGCUGAGGCACUGGAGGCCGUUUGUGUCGAGACCAUUGAAGCUGGUUUCAUGACCAAGGACCUGGCCAUCUGCAUCAAGGGCAUGUCUAAUGUCGCACGCUCUGA